rnacentral:lncRNA from 1 species
GGAUCCCUACCAUUGAUAUUGAGAAGCUUUAAGAAAUUUUCAUUUGAGACGUCCAAAAAUAUCCUAGUAAGUCAUUGAAGUCCUCUAUAAAUACAAUUGAGUGAAAUCCAAGACUUAAUCAAGCACGAAAUCAAUCUCUUUUCUUAAAUGAAGGCCUUCCUCGUUGUCUUCUUCCUUUUGAUUUCUGGAGUUUUAGGAGCUCCGAAUUCAUUUAUUGACGGUGAGAUGAUUAUUUUUUAAUUCAUUUUGCUUAAAUUUAUAUAUUUUAUAAAAUAAAUCGUAAUUUAAAAGUAAAAAAUUAUAAAUAUUAAAGUUUGAAUCCAAAUUUACAAAAUAUUACAUUUAAAAGAUUAAUUUUAUGAUCCAUUUGAGCUAUAAAACAUACAACCAAAACAACUAAUUUGUAUUAGUAGUUUAUACAUGGCGUUCAUCUUUACAGAAUUUUAUUUUGAAAAGUCUAAGGACUCUUACCUAUUUUUUUUCAUCCUAAUCCAAUUCUUAUUUGGAGUUGCAGAAGGUACAGGGGAUCCGUUCCAUAGAGGUGAGACUUACUUUCUAAUCUAUUUUAUGCUUAUAUUUAUGUUAAUAUUGUACGAAAUAUGAUUUUCAUUAAUAUUUUAUGGCAGUCAGUUGCUUCCCGUUCACUUCUUUGCCUUUAUUUUUAUAUAUGGUUCUUUUCCAUUUAAGUAAUUAAGAUAAGAUAUAAGGACUGUUAUUUUAACGUUUUUCUAUUUAUUCCUUUAUAUUACUGACCAAAAAAAAAAAAUUACUCUAAGUGGUUGCAAUAAUUCAUUAAAUCUGAUAUUAACUUUAGAGAAUGGAUUAAUUUACAAAAUGUAAAAUUAAAAAAAUUUUACAUUUUUUUAACAAUUAAUUUAAUAAAUUAAAAAAAAAAAAAGAUAAGUAAGAAAUUAAAAAAAUAAUUUAAUUUCAUCUCUUAAAUAUAUUGAAAUUAAUAACUAGAAAAUUAUAUAAAGCUUUUUAAUUUUAUAUCUCCUCUUAAUUUUAAAAAUAUAUAUAACAAUAGUUAAAAGGAAAUUUAUGGACUUUCUUUUCUCUGUCAUUCUUCUAAAUUUUUUAAACUUUAAAAAAAAAAUUUUUUUGGAUGAUAUUUGGCAUUUUGUAGAUUAAUUUCUUUUGUCAUAAAUUUAUUUUAUAUAUGAUGUGUGAAUUUUUUUUUUUGGGAAAGUACAGCCUAGGAAAGGGUGACCUAUCGUUAUUAGUGGCGGAUCUAUAUUGUUUAUAAGUAGAAUAUUCAUAAAUAUCCCAAAGAUUGAAAAAUUAAAAUUUGAGAAAACGUUUUUUCCUAAGCACCCUAAAUUAUUUUUUUGGAUAUGUUUUUUAUCAAUAGAAUUAGUAAACUCAUUAUAAUAAAAUUUGACAGUAUUAGAAAUAAUUCGAUUGUUUAAUUACAUAUAUUGAAAAUGAUAUAUUUGAUAAUAUCAGAAAUGAUGUAAUUAUGCUUUUUUUUUUAAUAUGAAAACUCGUGUGACAACUAUAAUAAUAUAACAAAAUAUUAAUUAAAUUAUUGUUUACAAUUUUGUUAUAUAUAUAUAUAUAUAUUAUAAAUGAAUACUAAAAAAAUCUUUUAAAUCCGUCACCAAUUUUAUUGAAUGAAUUUAAACAUAUUUUUUACGUCAAAAUUUGCUUUUAGAUAUAUAUAUAUAUAUAUAUAUAUAUAUGUAUGCACGGGUGUUUCCUCAAACUAGUAAUAAAUUUUUAUUCUAUUUUUUAUAUUUUCAGGAGCAAAAAACGCACCUACGCAGCCAAUAACGUGCAUGAAGAAUGGACACCACCAUAUAUGCAAUAUUCCUUUACUACCACCAGGAAAAGGAUGGCCUAAUCUGCAAUCCACAUGCCCUUGUUGUGUUGGAAUAUACACACGCGGUUGUCCCCAGCAAUAAUUCUCAUUAUAAAGAUAGCACAUAAUAUGCUGCAUGUGUUUUAUGGUUUGUAUUAAUUGCAACGUAUUAGUUUCUAUCUUUUUAGCUUUUAACUCGUUGGCUUGUUAGAAAUAUUUUUCUUUUUUAAAUGCAAAUUUGAAUUAUAGAAUAAAAGAUAAUCAUCAUCCAUCCAUUUCAUAUAUUCACUACAGGGGUUUAGGUUUUUAGUGACAUUUUUUUUAACGUUUAGCGACAUUUAUAAAUAUUACUAAAAGAUUUAUGACGUUUGCAAAAAAUACUAGUCAGGGUGUUAGUUAUACACGUGUCAGGAAAAGUAACGGUAUUUUUUACAAACGUCACUAAAUUAGUGGUGUUUUCUAUAAAACACUGUUAAAUUAAUGACGUUUAUAUCUUUCAGAUGCCGUUAAUUUAGUAACACUUUUAUCAAAAAAAAUACCGUUAUUAUGGUGUCGUUUAAAUGAUAAGACGCCGCUUAAUUAGUAGCGUUUGUGUCUGAAAAAAUAUCGCUAUUUUAACGGUAUUUGUAUAUUUGAAACGCCGCUAAUUUGGUGACGUUUUUAUCAGUAAAACACCAUAUUACGGUGAUGUUUAAGUGAUAAGAUGUCGUUAAAUUAGUGGCAUUUUUUGAUAAAACCAUUGCUAAAACGCCACUAAAUUAUUCAUUUAGCGGCAUUCUUGAACGCAAACGUCAUAAAAUUAAGAAAUUUAUUUUUAUUAAAUAAAAAAUUUUUGUUAAUAAUUAUUAUUUUCAUUAACAAGAAAUGUUAAUGAAAUAAAAAUGAACUUAAAUUCAGAAACUAAAAUUAAUAAACACUUAAUUCACGUUCAAAUAUAUAGCUAAUUAACACAAAGUUUAAUAAUUAGUACAAUAACGUUCAAAUUUUUUUUAAUAUAUUAACAAAAAACAAAUUAAAAUGUAUGAAAUUGAUGACUACAUACAUUUUGAAGACUGCCAAUUGAUGAAGAAAUUUUUCAUCUUGUUCACUAAUGUGCUCAAGAACCUACUGAAUAAUACCAUAUAAUUUUUAACACUUCAUAAUAAGCUUUUUUUAUAUUAAAAAAAUAAAUAUCUAGUAAAUAUAAUACCUGAGUUGGUGGACCACCGAGAUCAGUUCUUAAAAAUUGUUGUUACACAAAAUUCAUAAGAUUAUCGAAUCAAUCAUGCAA